AUUGAACGCUGGCGGCAGGCCUAACACAUGCAAGUCGAACGGUAACAGGAAGAAGCUUGCUUCUUUGCUGACGAGUGGCGGACGGGUGAGUAAUGUCUGGGAAACUGCCUGAUGGAGGGGGAUAAUUACUGGAAACGGUAGCUAAUACCGCAUAACGUCGCAAGACCAAAGAGGGGGACCUUCGGGCCUCUUGCCAUCGGAUGUGCCCAGAUGGGAUUAGCUAGUCGGUGGGGUAACGGCUCACCUAGGCGACGAUCCCUAGCUGGUCUGAGAGGAUGACCAGCCACACUGGAACUGAGACACGGUCCAGACUCCUACGGGAGGCAGCAGUGGGGAAUAUUGCACAAUGGGCGCAAGCCUGAUGCAGCCAUGCCGCGUGUAUGAAGAAGGCCUUCGGGUUGUAAAGUACUUUCAGCGGGGAGGAAGGGAGUAAAGUUAAUACCUUUGCUCAUUGACGUUACCCGCAGAAGAAGCACCGGCUAACUCCGUG
rnacentral:rRNA from 1 species